rnacentral:miRNA from 1 species
GCAGACACAUUCCAGACAAUCAGCAGCAGACCCUCCCUCCCAGACCCUCCCACCUCUUGGACAGCAUCCAUUUUGAAGCUGCAUUCUUAGUGAGCUGUCCAGGAGGUGGGAGGGUCUGGGAGGGAGGGUCUGCUGCUGAUUGGCUGGAAUGUGUCUG